GGUCCCAUGGUGUAAUGGUGAGCACUCUGGACUCUGAAUCCAGGAAUCUGAGUUCAAAUCUCGGUGGGACAU
rfam:Apaloderma vittatum contig65018, whole genome shotgun sequence.